ACAGGAUAGAUACCCCUGGGUAGUCCACGCCGUAAACGAUGAGUGCUAAGUGUAAAGGGGGUUUCCGCCCCUAAGUGCUGCAGCUAACGCAUAAAGCACUCCGCCUGGGGAGUACGACCGCAAGGUUGAAACUCAAAGGAAUGGACGGGGACCCGCACAAGCGGUGGAGCAUGUGGUAAAUUCGAAGCAACGCGAAGAACCUUACCAAAUCUGGACAUCCUCUGACCCCUCUAGAGAUAGAGUUUUCCCCUUCGGGGGAAGAGUGACAGGUGGUGCAUGGUGUCGUCAGCUCGUGUCGUGAGAUGUUGGGUUAAGUCCCGCAACGAGCGCAACCCUUAAGCUUAGUUGCCAUCAUUAAGUUGGGCACUCUAAGUUGACUGCCGGUGACAAACCGGAGGGAAGGUGGGGAUGACGUCAAAUCAUCAUGCCCCUUAUGAUUUGGGCUACACACGUGCUACCAUGGAGCCAAACCAAGGGCAGCGGAAACCGCGAGGUCAACAAAUCCCAUAAAGUUGUUCUCAGUUCGGAUUGUAGUCUGCAACUCGACUAUAUGAAGCUGGAAUCGCUAGUAAUCGUAGAUCAGCAUGCUACGGUGA
rnacentral:rRNA from 1 species